CUUCCUUCCCUCCUUCCCUCCUUCCUUUCUUCCUUCCGAGAAAAUCGAAAAUCUUCUCUCGAGCAACAGUGAAUGAAAUCGCACGGAUCGAGCGAGCUCGCGAUACUAAAAAAGAAGAAGAAGAAGAGAUACCGAAUUGUUGCACAGAGGAGAUCGUGCAACGUUGUUAUUCAAGAAUAUCGAUGUCUCCUUUGACCCUGGAUGGAACUGAGACCGCAAAACCGGUGAUGAAACAAAUAAUCGACGCUCGGGAAGAAGAUCGAAUUGCUCGAUGAUCCAAGCUUUUGCGCGCUAUUAUCGAUUAUUAUCCAGUAAGCCGCGAUUAAAUCCACUUAAAUCCGGACGAAUCUGGAAAAAUUCCAACGAACCGUAUCCUCCGAGUUAAUCCAAUCAACGGUUUGUGUCAAGUUUGAUAACGGUUUGAUAAUUUAAUAAGCUUUCGCCCGCUUUCGUCGUCGCCUAUCAACUUUCGAUUAAUUUAUCCCCGUACGUUGAUCCAAGAGAUUACAUCGCUGUAUCGAUUAUCCAUAAGUCGCUCCGUUAAAUCCAAACGAAUUUUCAGUUUCCAACGAACAAACCGCAUCCUCCAACUUCGAUCCAACUUGUGUGUCCAGUUUGAUUAUUAAUUACAAAUCAAGUUACGAUUUAAUAAAGUUUCUCUCGCUUUCGUCCACCACGAACCGAGUCGAGUCGUCGUUGCGUUGUAGAUCCACUUUCGAUUAAUUAUUUUAUCCUCCUCUCUCUCUCUCUUUUUGUUUUCUUCCUGCCGUAGAAAUAAAUGAACGAACGAGAGAUAUGAACGACGGAGUUUUUGCCACGGGAGACUCGCUUGAGACGAGAACAACACGAGACUGGUAUAAAGUGAGUCAAGUGAGCGGCGAACCGAUCUUCCGGUAAGUUUGCACGAAGGAGGUGGUGGAGCCGGUGCUAUUAACCGUCUACCGGAGGAGGCUGGUCUAGCUCGGGUUUUCACGGUGUUCGGUGAAAGUGGUUAAGGUUUUCGUUCGACGUGCGAGCGAGCAUCGCGUUUGUUCCACGGAGGAAAACGUUCUCUCGUCUCUUCUUUCUCGCCCAAUUACAGUCGAUUUCGAUCUUUGAACGAGUUUCGACUUUCUAUGGAGCAUAUGUGUGCGCGCGUGUCGUUCGAGUCAAAAGCAUGUAAAUUGUUUUUUUUUUAAAAUGGUUACGUGUCUUCGUGCGUGGGUAUUUGAUACGCGAGGAAGAGUGAUUCGUAGUUUUUUUUGUUGUUGUUGAUAUUAUUAUUAUUAUUAUGAAUUUGAUUAAUAAUGCCAGUUUGGAAAGUAACGAUUCGAAAUUCGCGAACUUUCGAGAAUAAGACUCAUCCUGAUGAAAUUUUCUGGGUUUAGAAACUUCUCCGCUUUAUUAAACUUUCACGAGUGUAGAUAAACGAAAAAAAACGUAACUGUAACUGUAAAAAUCGAGAAAACGGACAAGUUUACGAGAAUCUUGUUUCUCUCGUGAACUGUUUGAAAAGGUUUGCUCGUUCAUUGUAGGCCUCGUAAUCGUCCCUCUGGCGAUCCUCGUUCGUAAAAAUACCUUUGGAAACGGGUCUUAAAAUUGACGUAGCUGAAGAUGGCGUAGCUCUCUCUAUAGGUCGUACGCAAAGCGUCACGCUUGGCUGCCCAUGCGAAUCUUUUGACCCACGGUUACGGGUCUGGCUUUUAAAGGUGCAAUGAUACGUUAUCUCGAGAUGUUAGAGUCAUCGUCGUCGCGCUCUUUCACGAAAACUGGUUCACGAAUAUAUAAAAAAUAUUCUUUCGCUCGCGAAGAAAAAAAGAACAUCGUUUCCUUUCACGUUAAAUGAUGGAUCGCGCGCAAAUUUAUUUUAUCAAGCAACUCGAUGUCUCGAAUAUUUUCAAUAUUUCGAUUUAAAUUCGCGUUAAAUCUCGUUUCGAUCUUUCUUUUCCAUCGAGCUCUCCCCUCUCUCCUUCUUUAAAAUUUUACGCGCCGAAUUAUGCCACGCUCUAUCUGACGGUUGCAUCGAUCGUCCCCUCCUCCCCCCGUGGCGACAUCCGUUUCCUGUUCCCCUAUUUUCCAUACAAUGGCACCGUCCACGAAUAUGGAUCGUCUGUGCGUUUAACGAGACGACUCUCGCUAUCGGGACCCUGAAACGGGGUUGUAAGCCUCAUCGACCUUAUUUUCCGUGUCAAUAAUCCAGAAAAUAAUCCGCGCGAAAUAUCUCGUGUGAAAUUGUUCGCGGCAUUUUUCUCCCCUCUCUCUCUCUCUCUCUCUCCUUUCUCUCUAACGGCAAACUGAAAACUAUUUUUGUGAAAAAAAGUUCCAUUUUCUUCUUCUUCUUUUUUUUUUCCUCUCUUUCUCAUCGAAUCCGAUUCUCUCAUCUCCUCUUCUCGAAAUGUGGGUUAAAUUAAAACGGGAUCCCCGAUUUUCAACGUUAUUUAACGUUGACGUAAUUGGAAUCGAUGCGUGAAGCCUCGUCGUUCCCGGGGGGAAAAAAAGAGAAGGAAAAAAGGAGAGCGAAUCUCUGUGUUUUUCCUUCCAACUCUCCUAGGAUUAAUUGGGUUAAUUGAAGUUCGAAGAAACUUUUUUCACGGUUAAAGUUAAAGAGGAGAUCGUUUCUUUUCGAGAACGAAAAUAUUAGAUGGAAUGAUAUAAUUCUUCAAGCUGAUAAUUUUCAGAAUUACUCGCCAAUCUCAUUCGAAUAAAAAUUCAUUAUCCAAUCAUCAUCGUUUUGAUCAAUCGACCAACCAAAAAAUUUUUUCCUUCGUUCCAAGUUUCUCGCUCUGGAUCGAUGUCUCUCUCUCUCUCUCCUAUCUAAGCGUGCGCGCCUCACACACGCCCACCUCAUCCUUUUCCGAUUUUAUUCGAGGCGAUCGAGCGAGAGUUUAUCAGGCGUGCAACGUUUAUGAAUACACGCUCUCGGUAUAUCUCGGCCUUCGGACGAAAAUCGAUUCAAUCUCGUCUCAUCGCGUGAACGUUCAUUCAAUUUUUAUCGUUGCACCGUUUUUCUUUCUUUCUUUUUUUUUCUUCUUAUCCGUGAGAACAUCGGCCAUCUGGACGCGAAAUUGUUACUUUUUUCCCCCUCCUCCCUUCCUCCUCGCCUCUCUCCCGUUAAUUAUUUUCCUUCCCUCGAGCGGCGCAAUUACGUUCCUCCACCUUUUGCUCGUGCAACACACGAGUUCCCGCGAAUUUUCCAUUCCCUUAACGAUCAUGUUUACAAGAGUUAUGAUGGAUAAUUCCCAUGCCGGCUCCUUACUUCGCUGUCUCUCUUCUUCUUUCUUAUGUUCAUUUACUUUAAUCGAUCGAUAUUUAUCGUCCUAUUCCCCGGUUUCUCUCCUCUUUUGAUAACGCGAAUGAUAAAAAUAGCUUGGUGGAGAUAACGUUGAGAUACGUUUUGUAUUUCGUGUGUCAAUGAUCUGGAUAGAGUAUAUAGCAUAGGUUUUUCGAAAUUUGUAAGAUUUUUUCGAGUCUCGUCGAAUUCGAAAGAAAGAAAUGGGUGGGUGGGUUGACCUACGUUUGAGUUACGUCAUCGUGCGUAAUCAUUGCAUCCAUCUCGACGAGCAUUGCUCAAACACACCCAUCCAGCAGUAUUUCUUUGAAUAUAUCUGCAUUUCUACGGAAACAUGCAGUGCGAUAUGAGAUAAAAAUUUAAUAUUUUCACAGCUGGAUGAAAGAUUUCGCGAGUUAAGAAGAAGUUACGAGUGUUUCUUUUUUCUUUCUAUUCGCAGGAAGAAAUUAUUUUGCGCGUCUGAUCAAAAUCUUGGAGUGAAGAAGUUACCAGCUCUUAAAUGAGAUUCGAUCGCGUCCAGAUCGAUUUUCGGCAUCGCUGUUUCGAUAUUGUAGACAUCGAAGCCGCCUUCCAUGGAAAAAAAAAAUCACAGAUUUGCAACACGAUGAACAUUGCACGAUGAAUAUUUGCGGUUUAUACUCGUGUACACACCGUGAAAUUUGAAGAGGGACGAGCAUGAGAAUACUCGGGAGGAAGAAGCGUAAAUGAGAA